ensembl:lncRNA
CUAAUGAGCUUUCUGUCACUGUACUAUCUUAUACAUUUGUAAGGAGGAAAGGUUUAUUUUGGCUCACAAUUUUGGUGGUUUCGGUCCAUCGCUGAUUGAUCCUUUGGUUUUAGGCCCGUGUGAAACAGUGCAUCACAGUGGGAGUGUAUGGCAGUGGAAGCUGUUUACCACAGAGCAGUGGGAAGCAAAGACAAAGAAAGGAAGUGGGCCAGGGCCUCCAUACUCCCUUCAAGGGCACACCCCCUAUUAUCUAACUUCCUGCCAGGCCCUACCUUUUAAAAGUUCCACCAUCUCCCGGUACAGCCACAUGCUGGGGACCAAGCCUUUAGCACGUAGGCCUUUGAAGAUCAUUUGUCUCAACUAUAGCAGUCAUAAUCUUUGUGUUCCUGAAAUUUUGAAAAAUAAAAUUCCAUAUAGUCUAUUGACAUAUUUCUAAAGAUCAGUAAAGAGGCAAGAAGAAAUAUGGGCAAGAGUUAGAGAAGGAAGAUAAUUCAAACUACUCAAAAGAUUUCUCCUUGAUACAGCAUCUCAAGGAAGAUUUGAGGAAGAAAUAAAUAUAACAAUGAAGGAAUUUAUACUCAGAAACAUACCUACUUAGCACUUUCUUGUUAAUUCAAAUGUUCAAAACUAAACUUAGCUCAUAUUCUCAAAUAAAAAUUAAAACUUUUAAUUUUCAUAUCUUUAGUUUACCUGGUGUGUGGCAGACAUCUAAGGUGGGUUAGCUCAACAGCCAUUAACAUUUAUACCACCUUUAUCUUCCCAAUUAAGGCCCAACGUUUGGAUUUCCAGCAACCAUUGUGUGACCUUGAGAAGAAACCAUGAUGAGAAACCAACAUUACAAGGCUGGCGUAUGGGAAAGGCAGCAAGAGCCUAGCUUCUCCAUGCCAUUCUUCCAUUCUCACCAGCCCUACUAAUACUUACCUUCUGUUCAAUAAUACAUGUGUGUGUGCCUUGUUAAAUCUUUUUAAAUUUUUAAACUACUGCUAACUGGCACACACUCAAACUUUAGACAACUUUGAACCCUAAUUCUCACUGGUUUCUGGAAUCUCUAUUAAAAAUUUUUUUUUUCUCAUUGUCAUGGUUUCAUGCUACUCAAAUACAGGUUUUUAUUAACCUUAUUCCUGGAUUGCUACAGUAAUUUCUACCUGUUUUUCCUCCCUCUAGCUUCCCCCCUGUAUAUCUCAUUUUGUAUAUUGCUACCAGAUCUUUCUCAUAUACCCUUUAGGUCCUAUGAUGCUCUGGGUCACAUUUACAGUGGGCUUUUAUCCUUUUGUGUGCAGCCCUAAUCCUUUAAAUGACAUUUUGGCCCUUGGUCUAUGCAUUUCACCUGCCUCCAAAUACUUUCCUUCAUACUUCAUUGGCUAGAGCUGGGUAACAUGCUCAUUCCUAAACAAGUCUCUGAGAAAGGGCGUUGGAAUUACCCCUGACAGCUUAGAUUAAUCAUGGGAGUGAUGUGGCAGUUGGGGAGUUAACCACAAACACCUGCUUCAGCCUUCCAUCUCAAACUGCUUACUGUUCUUUUGUGUCAUACUUUCCCUCACUUGUGCUUUUAUUUUUCAUUAUUUAUUUAUAGAAUUAGCUUUCCCCCCUAACUUUCAGUCCAAAUCUUGUUUUCUUUAAGCCCAAGAGCAUCACAUUUCUUUCUUAAAAGCUUGUCAGAUGCCUUCUUUCUUCCCAUCUGUCCCUUCUUAGUAACAUGACUCUGCUGACAUAUUGUAUAUGCCUGUUCCUCAGAUGUUUCUCAUCUUAACUAGUUUGCAAGUUCCUGGAGGGCAUGAACAAGAACUUUGAAAAGGAGUGAAUUUAGGGACAAGUUCACCAAUUAUGGGACACCUAUAGAAAGCAGGAAG